GAUGAACGCUGGCGGCGUGCCUAAUACAUGCAAGUCGAGCGAACAGACGAGGAGCUUGCUCCUUUGACGUUAGCGGCGGACGGGUGAGUAACACGUGGGUAACCUACCUAUAAGACUGGGAUAACUUCGGGAAACCGGAGCUAAUACCGGAUAAUAUUUCGAACCGCAUGGUUCGAUAGUGAAAGAUGGCUCUGCUAUCACUUAUAGAUGGACCUGCGCCGUAUUAGCUAGUUGGUAAGGUAACGGCUUACCAAGGCAACGAUGCGUAGCCGACCUGAGAGGGUGAUCGGCCACACUGGAACUGAGACACGGUCCAGACUCCUACGGGAGGCAGCAGUAGGGAAUCUUCCGCAAUGGGCGAAAGCCUGACGGAGCAACGCCGCGUGAGUGAUGAAGGUCUUCGGAUCGUAAAACUCUGUUAUUAGGGAAGAACAAACGUGUAAGUAACUGUGCACGUCUUGACGGUACCUAAUCAGAAAGCCACGGCUAACUACGUG
rnacentral:rRNA from 1 species